rnacentral:rRNA from 1 species
ACGCUUCUUUCCUCCCGAGUGCUUGCACUCAAUUGGAAAGAGGAGUGGCGGACGGGUGAGUAACACGUGGGUAACCUACCCAUCAGAGGGGGAUAACACUUGGGAACAGGUGCUAAUACCGCAUAACAGUUUAUGCCGCAUGGCAUAAGAGUGAAAGGUGCUUUCGGGUGUCGCUGAUGGAUGGACCCGCGGUGCAUUAGCUAGUUGGUGAGGUAACGGCUCACCAAGGCCACGAUGCAUAGCCGACCUGAGAGGGUGAUCGGCCACACUGGGACUGAGACACGGCCCAGACUCCUACGGGAGGCAGCAGUAGGGAAUCUUCGGCAAUGGACGAAAGUCUGACCGAGCAACGCCGCGUGAGUGAAGAAGGUUUUCGGAUCGUAAAACUCUGUUGUUAGAGAAGAACAAGGACGUUAGUAACUGAACGUCCCCUGACGGUAUCUAACCAGAAAGCCACGGCUAACUACGUGCCAGCAGCCGCGGUAAUACGUAGGUGGCAAGCGUUGUCCGGAUUUAUUGGGCGUAAAGCGAGCGCAGGCGGUUUCUUAAGUCUGAUGUGAAAGCCCCCGGCUCAACCGGGGAGGGUCAUUGGAAACUGGGAGACUUGAGUGCAGAAGAGGAGAGUGGAAUUCCAUGUGUAGCGGUGAAAUGCGUAGAUAUAUGGAGGAA